CACAUACUGAAAUUCAAGACAUCUUAAAGUCUAAAAGCUUUUGGGACCUGACAUGACUCUACAUAUAGAAACAGCAUGAAACUUUGUUCCAUGCAGCAAAUUAUUUAAAAUAUUGCAUAAAAUUACCUCCAGGCUUAUGUGUAUAAGGUGUGUGAAGGUGUUUGUGGAGGAGACCAACCGUUGAAUCUGAACAGGCAGUACAGAAGAUCCCCCUCAGCCGUGCGGGUGGACAUCAUUUGUCCUAUCCGGGAUCCAAGGAGAAUGUAAGAAGAUCAAGGUUGCUUUGUGGUCAGUGAUAUGUGGAAUGCUGGUCUCACCACACCCUGACCAACCUCAUUCUUCAAGGAACAUACAAGGGCUGAGACAAAAGAAGUCCCAAUGAGCAAUCCACCA